AUACGGAGGGUGCAAGCGUUAUUCGGAAUCACUGGGCGUAAAGGACGCGUAGGCGGGUUGGCAAGUCAGAUGUGAAAUCCUACAGCUUAACUGUAGAACUGCAUUUGAAACUGCUAACCUAGAGUAUGGGAGGGGGAGAUGGAAUUAGUGGUGUAGGGGUAAAAUCCGUAGAUAUCACUAGGAAUACCGAAAGCGAAGGCGAUCUCCUGGAACAUAACUGACGCUAUGGCGUGAAAGCGUGGGGAGCAAACAGGAUUAGAAACCCUAGUAGUCC
rnacentral:rRNA from 1 species